rnacentral:ncRNA from 1 species
CACCGGCCGUCGUUACUACCGAUUGAGUGAUUUGGUGAGGUCUUCAGACUGACUCUCGAAACGGCUUUUGGGUCGCGUCCGCGUGGCGGAAAGAUUACCAAACAUGAUCAUUUAGAAAAAGUAAAAGUCGUAACAAGGUUUCCGUAGGUGAACCUGCGGAAG